UGUCUGCAGUCUUGGAAUGCUCUGGGUUGUUUGUGCCCCUGAGUACACCUGACUUGCAGAAAGAAUAUAUAUUCCAGAGGAAGCUGAGGCAUGGCUGUUAAAGGACGAACAGCAUUAUGUGCAAUAUUCCUCUGACACCAACUGAAUACUGUUGCCACGGUGAUGGUGACUUUUCCAUGUCAUUAUCUAUCAACCAACAGUAAGAGAAGCUUUGCAGUCAAGAUAUUGUUUAGCAAAUGGAGAGAUUUUUGCUGAACACUAAAAACUGCUAUAAAA